AAAUCCCAAUGAUUGGAUGAUAGGAAUUGAAAAAAGACCUAUGGAGAUCUUUUCUUUCUUUCCAUAGGAUUUAGGCAGCAUGGUGUUUGGUUAAUAUAGGGCCACAAUUAAAUAGACAAUCCAAACCAUGUAUCCUACAGAAUUUUCAACCCAAUUCUAUAGAAGGAUCCAAACAAGCCCUUUGUAGGAAGUUUAACCAGAACCUUUAUAUAUCAUAUUACCAUUCAAUAUAGUAUUUGGUAUUCCUAAUAAAAGCACCCACCAAGGCAGCAACUUCAUCGAUGUUCACAUCCAUAUUGUAUUAUUAAAUAAGAGAGG
rnacentral:lncRNA from 1 species